CGGGUGGCCGAAUAACAGGAGGAGCGGACUGUAAUCACCUCUGGAACCGAGGCGGCGAGACGGCCCUGCGUUGCACCUACAACUUGGGCUUGGGAUCGGGAUCCUCCCGCUUGGUGCAUGCGGGGAGCAGCUGGGGACCGGGGUGGCCGGCGUUGCCCUCCGCUAGGGAGGAGUCCCACGGAAGGCACGGCGGAGUCCGUAAUUGUUCAUUUCGGCCGAGCGGAACUCGCUAAACUGCGCGCUCCGUGUCCUUGAAAAGCGGAGAGUUUCGAUUCAAAGCGGGAGCUGCGCGCGUCUCUCGUUACGUGCAUCGGGCUUCCUUUGGGAUUCAUGCCCCACACAGAACACCGAGAUCCUUCUCUAGUAUUUUUAUUUUUUGUUUCAAGCUCUGCUAGGGUUGCGUAAAUGUCAGAAAGUUUAUAAAAAAAGAAAACAACCAAAAAACCACCACUCUUUAAGGAUUAUCUCAAAACUUUAUUACAGAAGUAAAUGUACUACUGCCACUCAACACAAGCAAACCCCAAAUCGUCGGUGGGUUGUUUUUUUAGUGUUCUAUUUUCAUAUUUACUCUGAAAAAUAGGAUACCCAAACUGAAUUUCUCCGAAGUUAACAAUUAGUUAAUGUUUGACUGCCCUAUGAUAAAUGGCAAUUGAAUUGCAGCAUAAAAGAAAUUCGGAUCCCAAAGAAAUCCAUCUCUUUAGAGCUGGAGAUGAUGGUUCUAAACUCUGUUCCUGGCUAUUGUCACUGACCUGUAUGUGUGACUCUGAAAACAAAAAAGCCUUUCUCUGUAAAAAUAAUAUUUUGAAUAAGAAUGUUGGGCAUUAAUGCAUCUAAAAUGCUAAUGCUUAAAGUAAUACUUGAGGUGAAAAUGUUUCUGUAUUGUCAUUCUUUCAGUUUUUCCUCUUCUCCCCCACCAAACAGUCCUUUCUGUUUUGACAAAAUCCUGUGUUUUGCACCAAAUGUGCUGCCAGUUUCAGUUGUGUCUGCAGAGAUAUUGGCAAUUUCUGUGAGAGUUUCUACAUCUGACAGGAGUGAGCGUCAUCUCAUUAAAUAUCAGGACUGUUCUUGAAGAGAUAUUCUGCCUAGAAAGAGAAGAGUUUCCAAGUUAUUUUUAAGUCUCCAAUUCUAAAAUUCAUGCAACAUAACAAAAAUAUAGUGGAUAACAUAACUUUACACAACACUGCAGAAAGUAUUAAAUGGCUCUAAAAUGUAAUUUCUGGCAGACAUGUGAAAGAAACCUCACACCCCACAAAUACCAUCCACCUCCUUGUCCCUCUUGGUAGCAGUCACCCCAUCUCUAUUGUGAGCAAGAGAAGGAAGUGAGCCCUUUAUGACAGUAUUUGUCAUUCCAUGGAAAAUCCAAGAGUAUCCAAGGGCCUGAUUUCUGGGCACAGGAAAGUAGAUGAUACUUGAUCUUGAAAACUUAUGCAUUUGGUAAGGAAGAUCUCAUGCUCCUAGAGCUACAAGUAGUUGGCACUUAUAAGUAAGCAAAAACAUGAAAACAACUGAACAUUCUUUAUUGCCUGAAGUGGCACACAGCAUUUAAUUUUAAGCAUUUGCUUGGCUAAUAAAACAUUUAUUUUCAUUAAAACAG
rnacentral:lncRNA from 1 species